rnacentral:rRNA from 1 species
UGGGGAAUUUUGCACAAUGGGGGAAACCCUGAUGCAGCGACGCCGCGUGAUUUAGAAGGCCUUCGGGUUGUAAAAAUCUUUUCUAUGGGAAGAAAAUGACAGUACCAUAGGAAUAAGGACCGGCUAAUUACGUGCCAGCAGCCGCGGUAAUACGUAAGGUCCGAGCGUUGUCCGGAAUCAUUGGGAGUAAAGGGUACGUAGGCGGGUAAGCAAGUUAGAAGUGAAAUCCUAUAGCUCAACUAUAGUAAGCUUUUAAAACUGCUCAUCUUGAGGUAUGGAAGGGAAAGUGGAAUUCCUAGUGUAGCGGUGAAAUGCGCAGAUAUUAGGAGGAAUACCGGUGGCGAAGGCGACUUUCUGGCCAUAACCUGACGCUGAGGUACGAAAGCGUGGGUAGCAAACAGG